rnacentral:lncRNA from 1 species
UCCUCAGGGAGAGCGAGCGAAGCCAGGGCAGCCUGGGGUGCGGCGUUUCCGGCGCCUUCUGCUUAGCCCAUCGCGUCCGCGCCCGCUCCGGGGCAGAGAGCACAAGGCCUUCUUGGAAGGAAGGAGAGGAAAACCCGAGACUAAAUGCAGAUCACUGUUUCCGCGAGCAGUUCUGUCCGAAGUGAACUAUGAGCUACGGGGUCACACACGCGUUCACUCGGAGCUUCGGGGGCUUCAGACAGGAGCAGCCUCACGCGGGGUCCCCAGCGCUACCACACAGAGCGUGUGCAGAAGGACACUGAAUGCCCUGGUGGUCGCCUCUGCCGCACGCUUUAUCCGGAAGUCCAUCGGCCCUUUGGGGCCAGCUGUGCAGCCGAGCGUGCGGGAGCUUCUUUAGAGCCGGGCAGGAAGUGGGCCCAGAGCGCCUUCUCUUGCCAGGCUUCGGAGCAGUCUGGGCUCUCAUUCAGCCUACCGGCUACCAAGGGACAGGCUCGACGGCAGGAAAAAUCGUGCAAGAGAAGACUAUCAGACUCCGACUUAGGCUGUGCCACGAAUGACAAGGCGCUGCUUAGUGAGUGGCUGCUUUCGGGGACUUAUCAUAGUUACUGUGACCUCGGUGUAGCGUCCAGAGGAACCCUGCCCUCUUCGCCACUGCUGCAGAUUCCACCCACCAAAAACCACAAAGUAGGAAUUAGGGCUGCCCUGGCCACUAAGUAUGUCCCGUUCCCCGGACAGUAUUUCGUUGAUACAAAGAGAAAUGGGUUUGAGGCCUUUAUGUGGGACAGGUGUCUCCGUCAGUUUCCAGCUGUUCUCAUGUCGCACUUGGCCUUCGUAACCAUAGCUACAUGAACACCACGUGCAAUUCCAGGCUGAACUGAUUUGAGAUCACUUUAAUUCCCACAGUAUCCCUUUACCUGCUCGGGAACUAAUGCUGUGCCAAACGCUGUGCUGAACAUUUCAUUUUGACCUCACAGCCUUGUGAAGCAGGUGUACUCAGCCCACAGAGCUACGCCUGGGAGGUGGGUGGACAGGGAGCAUGAGAAAAGGACCUAGGCUCAGUUUGCUCAGCCCCAGCGCUGACCUCUUUAACUGAGCUGGAGAGGGCCACAGCACCCGGGUCACUAUUCAUGGUUUCUCUGGCGUGUAACCAUUGGCUUCUUUCUCAACCUGAUCUACUUCUCGGUCAUUUACCCUCCAAAUCCUGGCACUGUCACCACAGGGACUAGACGUAAACUAUCCAUUUCGAACUUUAUAAAAUUGUAAAUCACCAAAGCAAAUUGGUGAGAUGAGCACCUAGGCCUAGGCUGGAACGAUCCUAGAUUUUUUCCUGGAAUUUGAUCAGAGACAGUUUCUGGUGAGCCAAACAGCUUAGCGGGUUUUUGCCCAGUGGCACAGGACAUGCACGUGGCAUGCCAACUGUUCAUGCAGCUGACUGGGGAGAGCCAGUCUGACCGAAAGACUUGUGUUUCAGAAUGGUUUAAUAAAAUCAAAUGCAUCCAAAAAACUGAAGAGAAACAUCCUGGAAUUACCGAGGCAAAGGGAGAAAAGAGGACCCUGUGUGUAUGUGUGUUUUCCUUGCAGUGUUGCCAUUCUUCUUGGGAAGGAGGAACUCCUCUUUAAUCUGAACUCAUGUCCAUCAUAUGUUUGGGGUUUAAAUUUUUAAAAAAUAAAGUAUAGUAGAAUCUAUAUUCUUUGUGUAGAAGAUAGUCAAGGGUGGUAUGUUUGUGAGUAUGUAUAUGUGCUUCAUGGUAAAGUAAAAUUAGUUAUUUAUUAGUAUCUAGAACAUUCCUUGACAUUCUACUAGUCCAUGAGAUCUGGAGGGACAGGAACCUCUGGCUCUGAAUUCAACAUCAACUCAAAGAGGCUGUUGUGUGCUUGUCGUAUUAGUUAUUUGUAAUGAGUAUUUAUGUAGUUUUUAAUAUAUCUUAGAUAUGUUAAUACAGUUAAUCCAGUUUUUAUUGAAUGCUUACUGUAUACCAGCUUGUAGUCUAAUAGUUUAAAUAUAUCAUACUAUUUGUAACAUAGAUAUUAACAGUUUAUGCAUAAUCCCAUAUUCGGUUAGGGCUUUUAUAUUGCAAGUAACAAAAGUUUUAACCCAAACUGGCUUGAAUAAAUGGAAUAUAUUGUGUCACUUAUUUGAUAAAGUAAAUAUGCUUUCGAGGUGAUUUUAAUAUGGCUUUAGACAUGUGACUGGGACAUUGUUUCUCCUGUUCCAUUUCUGAGCUCUGUUUCUUACAGCUUGGCUCCAUUUUAGGGACACUAUCUCCCAGGCUUUUGAAAUGGCUGCCAAUGGCUCUGAGAAGGAAGUGGAGGAGAGGCUCAGAAAUUCCAGGACUAAUCUUGCUGACUGACUUGGGUCCUGUGCUAACCUGCGUACUACUCGCUGAAGGGUUGGGGUGCCCUAAUGGCCUUAACCUUGGAUGUGAGCUCUACUCUGCUGGACCUGACAUGCAGUCAGCUUGCCCUAGAUCCCCACAUGGAAGUCAGAGCUUUCAGAAGUGGAAAUGAAGGAAUCUGUGGAAAAGCUACCAACAUGUGUCAGCUGUGAGCUGGGGCCAGUGAAUGGCCUUCUCCUCUUUGGAGCUUGUUUCCUUUACCUAAUUAUAAGGACUUGUUUUAUAGUGGUUAUCAGUGUUAUCUUUAACUGGUAUUUCAGAAUUGUUCUACGUAGAUGGUGGAGAAACCUUCCUUAGUGACAUAAAUCUCUACAGAGAAGAGGUGGUAGGGAUUUCUAACCUUGUGCCCCACCCCUUUUAUAAAUUUACCUUUAAAUAAAAAUGAACAGAUUAAAUCUAAAGUUACUCAGCCAUUUCUGACUGAUCUGUUUCUUUUUUUCUA